GCUUUAUAACAAAAACUAUUCUUAAAUAAAGACUUAGUGGCGUUAUUUUAUUGGGGCGAUAAAGAUAAAAAUAUUAUAACUGUUAAAAGAUAAAACAUAUAUUUAUGAAGGUGUAAAAGAUCCUGAAUAGAGAUUUAAAGAAUAAGUU
rnacentral:rRNA from 1 species